rnacentral:rRNA from 1 species
CAGCAUGCUGCGGUGAAUACGUUCCCGGGCCUUGUACACACCGCCCGUCACACCAUGGGAGUUGGCUGUACCAGAAGUCGCUAGUCUAACCUUCGGGAGGACGGCGCCCACGGUAUGGUCAAUGACUGGGGUGAAGUCGUAACAAGGUAGCCGUAGGGGAACCUGCGGCUGGAUCACCUCCUUUAAA